rnacentral:rRNA from 1 species
AUUGAACGCUGGCGGCAUGCUUUACACAUGCAAGUCGAACGGCAGCGCGGGCUUCGGCCUGGCGGCGAGUGGCGAACGGGUGAGUAAUACAUCGGAACGUGCCCAGUAGUGGGGGAUAGCUCGGCGAAAGCCGGAUUAAUACCGCAUACGACCUGAGGGUGAAAGCGGGGGAUCUUCGGACCUCGCGCUAUUGGAGCGGCCGAUGGCAGAUUAGCUAGGUGGUGGGGUAAAGGCCUACCAAGGCGACGAUCUGUAGCUGGUCUGAGAGGACGACCAGCCACACUGGGACUGAGACAGGGCCCAGACUCCUACGGGAGGCAGCAGUGGGGAAUUUUGGACAAUGGGCGAAAGCCUGAUCCAGCAAUGCCGCGUGUGUGAUGAAGGCCUUCGGGUUGUAAAGCACUUUUGGCGGGAACGAAAAGGACUGUGCCAAUACCACGGUUCGAUGACGGUACCCGCAGAAUAAGCACCGGCUAACUACGCG